CGGGGUGCAGCAGGCGCGAAAACUUUACAAUGCCGGCAACGGCGAUAAGGGAACCUCGAGUGCCAGGUUACAAAUCUGGCUGUCGUGAUGCCUAAAAAGCAUUGCAUAGCAAGGGCCGGGCAAGACCGGUGCCAGCCGCCGCGGUAACACCGGCGGCUCGAGUGGUAACCGUUAUUAUUGGGUCUAAAGGGUCUGUAGCCGGCCGGGUAAGUCUCUUGGGAAAUCUGGCAGCUUAACUGUCAGGCUUUCAGGAGAUACUGCCUGGCUCGAGGCCGGGAGAGGUGAGAGGUACUUCAGGGGUAGGGGUGAAAUCUUGUAAUCCUUGAAGGACCACCAGUGGCGAAGGCGUCUCACCAGAACGGACCUGACGGCAAGGGACUAAAGCUAGGGGCACGAACCGGAUUAGAUACCCGGGUAGUCCUAGCCGUAAACGAUACUCGCUAGGUGUCGGCCACGGUGCGACCGUGGUCGGUGCCGUAUGGAAGCCGUGAAUCGAGCCACCUGGGAAGUACGGCCGCAAGGCUGAAACUUAAAGGAAUUGGCGGGGGAGCAC
rnacentral:rRNA from 1 species